AGGCAACCAGUUUGCCAGACCUGAUUGCCAACAGCCCGGAAAGUGAUCCAAAAGUGCUAAAGUCCCCUUCCUUUCCCCCGCCCCCUCCCCGCUGCAGCUGAUAAACACCGGGACCGAACCCUGUGGGGAGCUCACGGGGUGCAGAGAAAUGCCGGAGGACAAAAGGGACAAGGACAAACGGUGAUUUCUUGGUGGAAGGAGGAGCUCCUAUUUUGUUUCAAGAUGAGACCCCGAGAAGUGAAGGGACUGGGUCAAGAUCACGCAGCAGGCAAGCGGUGGAGCUGGGAUUGGAACCCAGGUCUCCUAACUUCCAGGCUUGUGUUCUUUUCACUGGGCUCCGCUGCUUCCCGAAGAACAGAGGCCAGCAUGCUAGACUGAUUUCUCCUUCCCGUCGCGGACCUGUCCAACAAGGGGGCUCGAUCGGACCCUCCCUUCCAGGGGCAAGAGUUGAAUGGAAGGAUAGCUGCUACACUCCUGGUAUUUAUUGUCUACUGUGUGCAGAGGACGGUACUGUGUCUUGGAAGACUACAAUACAGUAAAGUUGGUACUUAUGAUCCCUGCCUUCAAGGAGCUUCCAAUCUGCACAGAGUAGGCACUCAACAAAUACUACUGAUCGUUUGAUGAGUAUCCCACAUUUACCUCUUCAAAAUGUCAGCCUAUAUUCUAAACCAUUUCUCCCCCCUAAAUUGAAUUCUAAUCCUGUCUCCCAAAUGCUGCCCAUCCUAGUGUAGGGGUCACAGAGAAGAGAUUCGAAGAGUCCCAGGCCUGUCCUUUGCAUGUGAGUUUUCCACUUGUAGCCACUGACUGGCAGAAUUCUAAACUGUUGAAGCUAUUUCAGGCAGGACGGCAUCGGGCACCUGACUGAAGUCAGGACGGAUGGUGCUGAUUCCUUCCCCUGAUCUACCGAGCCUGUCACCCUGCCCUAAAAGGAAAUUAGAUUCAUCUGAUAAGAUUUGUUUAUGUAAAGCUAUGUUGAUUAUCACCCCGUCUCCUGUGGGCUUCUGUGUCUGCCCAUUGAUUUUUUUUUGGUGAUUGGUUCCAGUGCUUUUCCAGGUAUAUUCAGUAUUUUUCCAGGUGACCCAGAUUCACAAAAUGGUUGUUAAUGCUCAUGUCCUCCUCCACUGGAUGUAAAUCGGACCCCUUACUAUUGCCUUGUCAAAGCUUUUCAGCCUAUACAGUGUGGGGGGUGGGGGGGGGAGACAGAAAGAAAUAAAUCUGGCCAGAAAAAUGCAUAUCCUUUGCAGAGAAAUUUGCAUAUCUAGUGAAAAGAAAUCUCCAUUUAUUGUCAGCUGCCCAGAAAUCUAUAUUCAGAAAUUGUAUCUGUUUCAUGCUAGCCUGUAAUUGGAGCCAAAAUCUUGUGAUCUUGCAAAGCCUGGAUUUUUUUCAAUAAAUUGAAUUCCCAGCUUUCUAAAAUAUGUUGGUAGCUUGUUGUUAAUUAAGUCAAGGAUUCAAACCAGAAAAUGGUUCCAGUUGUGCUUCUCAAACUCCCAGGGCUAUUAUUUCAAAUCCUAACUUCUAGCUCUCAGGUGCAUUUCCACACCAGAUCAGGAAAUCUCUCUCUCAUUCAGUUGCAUUUAUUGAGCACUUACUAUGUGCAGAGAACUGUACUAAGCGCUUGGGAGAGUACAAUACAAUAAUAAACAGGCAUAUUCCCUGCCCUCUUUCCUUUUUACUUUCCCAACUGUAUGGCUGGAUGUUCUGUUUGUCACCAGUGAACUGCAUUGGGCUACACUAUUUAUGGAGCUAAAGAAGAUGGAUCUACAUGAUAAACUCAAACUGGGUCAAAAUACUAUUGGUCUCUCUGUGUCUGCAGUUCUACUUUUGUAAUGGACUGAGGAUUGAUCCUUUUA